CUCGGAAAGCCACUACAUUAGCCUUCAUUUCAACUAAAAUUUGUAUCAAGGUAAUACUUUUUAAAGCGGCGAUAGGGAAUAUACUGAAACAUUUAGAAGACAGAGAUGUAUUCUGAAAUAUAUAAAAAUAUAAUGAAGGAAAUACAGAAAUAAUUGAUUUAUAAGCGAAAAUACAGAAUACUUUUCUAAAGAAAAAAAUAAUGAGAAAUUCCACAGCAGUAACAGACUUUAUUCUUCUUGGAUUGACAAGUGACCCACAGUGGCAGGUUUCACUCCCCUCACCUAUAUCCAAGAAAAUGACUUUUAGAGGUAUUUGAGAACUGUAAAAAAUGUGUUCAAGCCCACUUCCUAUAGUUAAUGAGUCCCUCAACUCCCAUGUAUCAUUAAGAAAAUUGGUUGUUGAAUCCAGCAGCACAUCAAAAAGAUAAUUCACCACGAUCAAGUGGGCUUUAAACCUGGAUGCAAGGAUGGUUUAACAUACACGAAUCAAUAAAUGUGAUUCACCACAUAAACAGAACUAAAAACAAAAACCAUAUGAUCAUCUCAAUAGACACAGAAAAAAUAGUCAAUAAAUCCAACAUCCCUUUAUGACAAAAACACUCAACAAACCACGCAUUGAAGGAAAAUAGCCCAAAAUAAUAACAGCCAUCUGUGACAGACCCACAGCCAAUAUCAUAAUAAACUAGCAAAAGUUGUAUGCAUUCUUCCUGAGAACUGGAACAAGACAAGGAUGUCCCCUCUCAGCACUCCUAUUCAACAUAGUACUGAAAGCCCUAGCCAGAGCAAUCAGGCAAGAGAGAGAAAUGAAAGGCAUCCAAAUAGGAAAAGAAGAAGUCAAAUUAUCUCCGUUUACUGAAAAUAUAAUCCUGUACCUAAAAAACUUUAAAGGUUCCUCCAAAAAACUCCUAGGCCUGAUAAACUACUUGAGUAAAGUUUGAGGAUAUAAAAUCAACAUAGAAAAGUCAGUAGCAUUUCUAUACACCAAUAACAUUCAAGCUGAGAACCAAAUAAAAAACGCAAUCUUGGCUGGGUGUGGUGGCUCAUGCCCGAAAUCUCAGCACUUUGGGAGGCCAAGCGGGGAGGAUUGCUUGAGCCCAGAAGUUUAAGACCAGCCUUGGCAACAUAGUGAGACUCUGUCUACACAAAAAAAUUUAAAAAUUAGCUAAGCAUGGUAGCAUACACCUGUGGUCCCAGCUACUCAAGAAGAUGAGGUGGGAGAAUUGCUUGGACCUUGGAGGUUGAGGCUGCAGUGAGCUCUCAUCAUGCCACUGCACUCCACCCUGGACAACAGAGUGAGACCCUGUCUCAAAAAAAUAAAUAAAAGUUGUCCAAACAUGGUGGCUCACGCCUGUAAUCCCAGCACUUUGAGAGGCUGAGGCUGGUGGAUCACUUGAGGCCAGGAGUUCAAGACCAGCCUGGACAGCAUAGCAAGACCCUAUCUCUACUUAAAAAUAAAAAAACAAGAUGCCUGUAAUUCCAGCACUUUGGGAGGCCAAGGCAGGCAAAUUACUUGAGUACAAGAGUUCAAGACAAGUCUGAGCAACAUGGUGAAACCCCAAUCUCUACAAAAAAUACAAAAAUUAGCUGGUCACGCUGGCAUGCACCUGUAGUCCCAGCUACUUAAGAGGCUGAGGUGGAAGAAUCGCUUGAGUACAGGAGGUGGAGGCUACAGUGAGCCAAGAUUGCACCACUGCACUCCAGCCUGGGCGAUAGAGCGAAACUCUAUCUCGAUAAAAUAAAACAAAAUAAAAAAGUUAUUUUAAAAUUUCUAAAACAAGAAAAGAAAAUUGGCUGUCUUGGGACAGUAGCUAUGAAUCUGACUAGAUACAGGAUAAAUGGAUUUUAGUUUGAUUCCUUGAUUUUCAGCUUUGUCUGAUAUACAGGUGAAUGUAAAGAGCUCUACAGGUUUUCUAAGUCUGUGACAAAUACUUUUUUUUAUAGAUGUGAGCGUCCUUCAGCACUUGUCUAUUUCUUACCAUUGUGUUUUAUGGAAUGGCAUACUUUUUUUUAAAACAGAUUAUAAUAUAAUAUCAUCACAAAAUGAAAAUUACAUGAUAAUGAUUACAUGAUUAUUUCAUUAUGAAUUCUUUAUUGUGGCAAUUUGUAAAGAAAUGAGACAUUGUAAGUUUGCUUUUAUUAAGAUUACAACAAGUAAGCAGAAAUGCAAAAGUGAAAAUCAGGAGUGUGGAAACAACAUGCAAACGUUAACUAAGUGAAGAUAAAGUAUAUAUACAUAUACAACUACAUGAUAGAUAGAUAGAUAAAGAGAGAUAGAGGGAAAGAGAGGGAAAGAAGAGAAACUGGAAAAUUAGAGAGUAAGGGAAAGUAAAUUUUCUUAAUCCACAAAAACUUAUCUGAAGAAGUUGAUUCUAAUGUUCAAUAAAUGUAAACCCAUGAAAAUCACUAUGAA
rnacentral:lncRNA from 1 species